rnacentral:rRNA from 1 species
UACGAAGGGGGCUAGCGUUGCUCGGAAUCACUGGGCGUAAAGCGCACGUAGGCGGGUCGUUAAGUCGGGGGUGAAAUCCUGGAGCUCAACUCCAGAACUGCCUUCGAUACUGGCGAUCUUGAGUCUGGGAGAGGUGAGUGGAACUCCGAGUGUAGAGGUGAAAUUCGUAGAUAUUCGGAAGAACACCAGUGGCGAAGGCGGCUCACUGGCCCAGUACUGACGCUGAGGUGCGAAAGCGUGGGGAGCAAACAGG